GGAAGCUGGGCAGGACUUAGUAUCAGUAGGGACAGCACAAGCAAGCGCCUGGAACCACCUGGAAGGGUGGCUGGCUGCCUGUGGCUGAGCCUCGGAGAACAAAAGGCCAGAAAAUCCUCAGCCUGGGAUGGAGGACGACUGGCAAAAUCAGGCUGUGGAGUUUGGGGAUGUUUUUCUCGGGUCAGAGCUGAGGGCCCCAUGAUUCCCAGACUGGACCCCGACCUUCAGGCAAGGAACUGGAAGAGGCAAGUGGAAAAGAGGACCUUGCUCGCUCGGGACAGGUUAGAGGUCUGCAGAAAAGACCCUCGGCAGACACCGUACCCGGUUUCCUUCGAGGGCGGGGUUAACCGCCCGGAAACGGAAGUCUCGCUCUCUUCCGUUCUCCAUUCCUGCCGCCUGCCGUGA
rnacentral:lncRNA from 12 species